GAUAACUUGUGGACAUGAAGACCGAAACAACUCAUAUAGUGUGUGUUGUCCCGAUAGCUUCUUCUCUCGUAUUUUUAUUGAGAUCGAAGCUUUCAUAUCAGCACUACAUUU